ensembl:lncRNA
AGCGUGGAAAUGCUGAGUAAAAUCCACCCAAGCCCCAAUUCUUGAUGGACCACCUCAACUUGGCAGUUUAGCCCUUUGUGGAGCUCAUAUUCUCUUCCUCCCAUGCAGGACAAGCAAGGACUUUGAGUGCAAAGACAUGAGGAGUGCUGACUCCCGGGAUGGAGAGGAAGGACCAUUCCUGUGCCUGCUGGAUUUGUCCUGCCCUGCACACCUGAACUGAGAUGUUAAACCAUUCUCAUCGCUGCUGCUUGGCACAUCCCGCUGCUGAAUCCACAUGGAUUGUUUCAUUUCUCCUUGCUGUCCAUCAGCAAAAGUUUAUCCCGCAUCAAGCCAGGAGAAUAGAUGUGCUGAAAUAGCAGCUUAAAAGCCUCUUUUGAAUACAGGUGUAAGUAAAAUAUUUUGGAUCCUUGAAAACAUCAUCUUUAAAUUAAAUAACUCAUUUGUCUCUCCUUCAGUCCUCCUGCUUCUUGGCUCUGUAUCUCUGUCCAUGUUCAUGUAAAAAAGUGUUGCUUCUUUUCACAAACAGUCAAAUUUUUUUUUCAUAGACUUAAUUUCUACCCUGCACUUUUUAAGACAGCAGCAUGUGUGGUUUUGUUUCAGUUUCACCUGCUGGGGGUUCUUCUGCUUUGAAGAUAACUGGUAAACAGCUGACCACGUAAACACAAACAUUUAUUUUUCCUUGACGUGUGUUUCCUCUUUGUGUCAAAAUAUUCAUAGUCUAGUGAAUGUAUUAUGAUUUUGAGGCUUUAUGGUUAUUAGGAACCUCUGGUGUUAUUUCUUGCAUCAUGCCAGCCAUGUGAUUCCAGCCUCAGGUCCCAGACAAGCUGCAGAGUAUAUUUUGUAAAAGCACUCAUUCUUACAGGAAAGACAUCAGCUUAUUACAUUGCUGCUCUCAAGCACUCAAUUUUAACCUAAUACUUUACUUUUGAAAUGACCAGAAUUUUUUUUAUUUUUUUUUUUUUUUCCCAGCCUGCAUUUACCUUCUCUUUCUUAAUUACUUACUGUUGGUGCUUUGCUCGCUAAUUACAGAUUCCUCUGGUGUCAGGACAUUCCCUUCCAGCACUCCACUGACUGUGCUGAGUUAUCUGUGCCCUUCCCUUGGGGGGGCUGCUGCAGUGUGUUAUGCACAGGUGAGGGUUCCACAAUUUCCAAUCAUUUAAUGACUCAUUCUCCAGUCCCUUGCAAUAUCCCAGGAUUAUCAUGAUUUGAAAAUUGGAUACCAGAACUGGACACAGCAGUGCUGGUCCCAUCAGUGAUACACACCUGUAAUAUCAUGGUCUCCUGCAUAAUCAUGCAAGUAUUGCAUUAACCUUAACCCAUAGAUUGCAUAGGGAAUUCAUGGUAAAUUGAUUUUCUGAAGUCCUUUUCAGUGUCACUGCAUUUCAGGAUAUGGUAUUCUGUGCUGUUAGUGUGACCUACAUUCUCUCUUCUGACAUAUCUGACUUGGUGUCAGCCUGUAUUAAAACCUUUUUAAAAAUAUUACUUCAUUUUACAAGCUGAUUCAAAUAGCACAUUAUAACUGACCAAUCCCAACCUCUCCAAUUGGUAUUUAACCUAUUUUUUUUAAUACACCUUUAAAGUAGCCAAUUUAAAAUAUUUGAAGUAUUUUCUUUCUUGGAUAUUUUCAUAAAUUUCUGUUCUGAAUGUAGUCAAAAGGCAUUUAAAAAAAUAGAAAUUAUUAUUUAUUUACUGGAAAUGCUAAUAGAUGCACCCAUAUUCAGAUAUGAUGACCAAUAAAAG